rnacentral:rRNA from 1 species
GCCUGAUCAGCCAUACCGCGUGGGUGAGAAGGCCUUCGGGUUGUAAAGCCCUUUUGUUGGGAAAGAAAUCCAGCCGGCUAAUACCUGGUUGGGAUGACGGUACCCAAAGAAUAAGCACCGGCUAACUUCGUGCCAGCAGCCGCGGUAAUACGAAGGGUGCAAGCGUUACUCGGAAUUACUGGGCGUAAAGCGUGCGUAGGUGGUCGUUUAAGUCCGUUGUGAAAGCCCUGGGCUCAACCUGGGAACUGCAGUGGAUACUGGACGACUAGAGUGUGGUAGAGGGUAGCGGAAUUCCUGGUGUAGCAGUGAAAUGCGUAGAGAUCAGGAGGAACAUCCAUGGCGAAGGCAGCUACCUGGACCAACACUGACACUGAGGCACGAAAGCGUGGGGAGCAAACAGGAUUAGAUACCCUGGUAGUCCACGCCCUAAACGAUGCGAACUGGAUGUUGGGUGCAAUUUGGCACGCAGUAUCGAAGCUAACGCGUUAAGUUCGCCGCCUGGGGAGUACGGUCGCAAGACUGAAACUCAAAGGA